AGCAGUCGCCGCGGUAAGACGAACCGUGCGAACGUUAUUCGGAAUCACUGGGCUUAAAGCGCGUGUAGGCGGAUGGGAGCGUCGGCCUCUGAAAUCCCCCGGCUCAACCGGGGAAGUGGAGCCGAAACGACCCGUCUGGAGGGACGUAGGGGGACCUGGAACUUCCGGUGGAGCGGUGAAAUGCGUUGAGAUCGGAAGGAACGCCCGUGGCGAAAGCGAGGUCCUGGACGUCUGCUGACGCUGAGACGCGAAAGCCAGGGGAGCGAACGGGAUUAGAUACCCCCGUAGUCCCUGUCUCUUAUA
rnacentral:rRNA from 1 species